AUUGAACGCUGGCGGCAGGCCUAACACAUGCAAGUCGAGCGGAUGAAGGGAGCUUGCUCCUGGAUUCAGUGGCGGACGGGUGAGUAAUGCCUAGGAAUCUGCCUGGUAGUGGGGGAUAACGUCCGGAAACGGGCGCUAAUACCGCAUACGUCCUGAGGGAGAAAGUGGGGGAUCUUCGGACCUCACGCUAUCAGAUGAGCCUAGGUCGGAUUAGCUAGUUGGUGGGGUAAAGGCCUACCAAGGCGACGAUCCGUAACUGGUCUGAGAGGAUGAUCAGUCACACUGGAACUGAGACACGGUCCAGACUCCUACGGGAGGCAGCAGUGGGGAAUAUUGGACAAUGGGCGAAAGCCUGAUCCAGCCUUGCCGCGUGUGUGAAGAAGGUCCUCGGAUUGUAAAGCACUUUAAGUUGGGAGGAAGGGCAGUAAGUUAAUACCUUGCUGUUUUGACGUUACCAACAGAAUAAGCACCGGCUAACUUCGU
rnacentral:rRNA from 1 species